rnacentral:lncRNA from 1 species
UUCAAACAAUAAUUUAAGCAUUGAUUUCAUGAUUUCCCUUCUAUAAACACUGAUGAUUAACCACUUACCAGUACUCAUCGUCUACCUAAAACUUGCGGUACCUGUAGCUGUAAAUCUCUCCUUGUAAUUGUGUUUGAGCCUAAAUAUAUUCCAUCAAACAUAGUGAGUAUUCAUGGUGGGUUUCUGUCGUGGAAGUAGAAAAACAUGAGGCUGGUUGGGUUAUUGGUGACUUAACUGAAGGCCAUUGGACAUAGUCCUUGGAAAAGCCAUGAAGAAAAGGAAAAGGCCAAGAUGGCCUAUUUGGUAUUGCAUAUUGCAUGCUAGCUAAAAGCCAUAUGGAUGUAUGUUAUUAUAAUAAUAUUAUUCUAAGCUAUAUCAGUGGAAUGGUGUGAUUGAAGAGAUGAUACCUCCAAGCUUCCAAGUUAGGUUGGAAGCCAAGUUCGAGUUCAGAUGGAAACCAACCCCACGUCGGGACUUAAAUCCCAAAUCCAAGUCAGAGUUUACACUCAGAGUCGGGAUGAAAACCAAAGUCCAAGUAGUGGUGGUGGCACAACUCCAAGUCCGGAUGGAGAGCGAAUUACAAAUGGCUUUGCAGACUUGUGUUAUACACAUUAAAUUGUAAUUAAGUGAAAGUUACGGCCAUAAGAGACAUGAUUCAGUGUGGGCAAGAGCACAAACAUCUCGUGCAAAUGCAUAUUCAAUAGCCAAUAUUAAAGGCGAGCUGACGUCAUCGAUGACAUCAACUAGCUGUUAAGAUAUUUUUUUCUAAAUAGCCUUUUAAAAUGUUAUCAACAUAUAC